rnacentral:rRNA from 1 species
CCGGCACGGGUGAGUAACACGUAUCCAACCUGCCGUCUACUCUCGGACAGCCUUCUGAAAGGAAGAUUAAUACAAGAUGGCAUCAUGAGUCCGCAUGUUCACAUGAUUAAAGGUAUUCCGGUAGACGAUGGGGAUGCGUUCCAUUAGAUAGUAGGCGGGGUAACGGCCCACCUAGUCUUCGAUGGAUAGGGGUUCUGAGAGGAAGGUCCCCCACAUUGGAACUGAGACACGGUCCAA